AACGAACGCUGGCGGCAUGCCUAACACAUGCAAGUCGAACGAGACCUUCGGGUCUAGUGGCGCACGGGUGCGUAACGCGUGGGAACCUGCCCUUAGGUUCGGAAUAACUCCCCGAAAGGGGUGCUAAUACCGGAUAAUGUCUUCGGACCAAAGAUUUAUCGCCUUUGGAUGGGCCCGCGUUGGAUUAGCUAGUUGGUAGGGUAAAAGCCUACCAAGGCGACGAUCCAUAGCUGGUCUGAGAGGAUGAUCAGCCACACUGGGACUAAGACACGGCCCAGACUCCUACGGGAGGCAGCAGUGGGGAAUAUUGGACGAUGGGCGAAGGCCUGAUCCAGCAAUGCCGCGUAAGUGAUGUAGGCCUUAGGGUUGUAAAGCUCUUUUAACCGGGAUGAUAAUGACAGUACCGGGAGAAUAAGCUCCGGCUAACUCCGUG
rnacentral:rRNA from 1 species